rnacentral:misc_RNA from 1 species
GAUGAAGAACGCAGCGAAAUGCGAUAAGUAAUGUGAAUUGCAGAAUCCAGUGAAUCAUCGAAUCUUUGAACGCACAUUGCGCCCGCCAGCAUUCUGGCGGGCAUGCCUGUUCGAGCGUCAUUUCAACCCUCGACCUCCCUUUGGGGAAGUCGGCGUUGGGGACCGGCAGCACACCGCCGGCCCUGAAAUGGAGUGGCGGCCCGUCCGCGGCGACCUCUGCGUAGUAAACCAACUCGCACCGGAACCCCGACGUGACCACGCCGUAAAACACCCAACUUCUGAACGUUGACCUCGAAUCAGGUAGGACUACCCGCUGAACUUAAGCAUAUCAAUAAGCGGAGGA